GAGGGCUUCAGUUUCGUCUGCUCUGACGCAAGAUACUUUAGUUCUACAGCCGACUACAAGCAGCUACCUCGUUGUUUCACUCAAUCACAUAUUUUUUUACUAAUUACGGUUUGAUUUCAUAUGGUCGCUGAAUCCUACUUUGAAGAACGAACGCGGUGUUAAACACUGUUCACGUUGCCCCUGACAUGUCACAGAAGUUCCAACGUUAAUGUUAGAGUUGCGGUAUCUGCCACACCAUACAAACAUUGCAGACAAACAAGCUAACGUUAGCAAGUUGGCGGAGUUCAGGCCACAUCAACAGGGAAACUGAAUUAAGUUUACCUCAAAGCUCACAGGUACAGUGAUAAGCAUUACAUACUUUGCUGUAAACUGGGGAUACCAUGUUACGACUCAUUAGACCCCAGAACCAGAGCUUGAGGGGCUGGCAUUGUAGUCAGAAGCGUUACAAUCACCACAAAUAUGUGAUGGCCAUCCGCCGCGAGGACAUCAAUGUGUGGGAGCGCCGCGCCCCCCUCGCCCCACGCCAUGUGAAGGAGAUUACUGCCGUAGGGCACAAAGUGCUGGUGCAGCCCUCCAACAGACGGGCCAUCCAUGAGAAAUACUACGAAAGAGCUGGGGCCGUCAUCCAGGAGGACAUCUCCGAGGCAUCUCUCAUCAUCGGGGUCAAGAGACCACCUGAGGAGGGGGUGUACCCUCAUAAGACAUAUGCCUUCUUCUCUCAUACCAUCAAAGCACAAGAGGCAAAUAUGGGCCUUCUUGAUGACCUUCUCAAAAAGGAAGUCCGCCUGAUUGACUAUGAGAAGAUGGUGGAUCCCAACGGCUUCCGUAUUGUUGCCUUUGGUCAGUGGGCAGGUGUAGCAGGUAUGAUUAAUAUCCUACAUGGCCUAGGACUGCGCUUCCUUGCCUUGGGACAUCACACACCGUUUAUGCAUAUUGGGAUGGCACACAACUACAGAAAUGUCAGUCAGGCCGUACAGGCAGUGAGAGACUGUGGGUACGAGAUCUCUCUUGGCCUCAUGCCCAAGUCUAUUGGCCCUCUUACCUUUGUCUUUACUGGAACAGGCAAUGUCUCCAAGGGUGCACAAGAAAUCCUUAACGAGCUUCCCUGUGAAUAUGUGGAGCCCCAUGAAUUGAAGGACGUUUCUUUAUCAGGAGACAUGACAAAAGUGUAUGCCACUGUUCUCAGUCGCCACCAUCACCUGAUCAGGAAAAGCGAUGCCCUUUAUGACCCACUGGAAUAUGAGCAUCACCCCGAGCGCUACACCUCCCACUUCAGAGUCAGCGUGGCCCCAUAUGCCACGUGUCUGAUAAAUGGGAUCUACUGGGACCCUCAUACCCCCAGGUUGCUCCGCCGGCUUGAUGCCCAGAGGCUCAUGCGACCCAUCAAGCCCUCUGCCCAUGCCACUGAGGGCUCACCUGGGCUGCCCCACAAGCUGCUGGCCAUCUGUGACAUCUCGGCAGACACAGGAGGCUCCAUCGAGUUCAUGACUGAGUGCACCACCAUUGAUAAGCCAUUCUGUAUGUAUGACGCAGACCAACAUAUAGACCACGACAGCGUGGAAGGCAACGGCAUCCUCAUGUGCUCCAUUGAUAACUUACCUGCUCAAAUGCCUAUUGAGGCCACAGAGUACUUUGGAGACCGAUUGUUCCCCUACAUUUGGGAGAUGCUGCCUUCAGAUGCAACUAGACCACUUGAUGAAGAGGACUUUUCCCCACAAGUGAAAGACGCAGUGAUAACAACUAACGGGAAACUAGCUCCGAAGUUUGAAUACAUUGAGAAACUUAGAGAAAGAAGGGAAUCGGAGCAGAUCCUGAAGAAAGGCGGAAUGAAGCGAGUUCUGUUGCUGGGCUCCGGAUAUGUGUCUGGACCGGUCAUUGAGUACCUGACCCGGAACCCUGGCACUCAGGUCACCGUAGCCUCGGUGCUGCUGAGCCAGGCGGAGGAGCUGGCCAGUAAAUACCCCAACACCAUCCCCGUCAUGCUGGACGUGACCAGCCAGGAGGGCCACAUGGAGUCCCUCAUCAAAGACCAUGACCUGGUGAUCAGUAUGCUGCCGUAUGGGUAUCACCCGGUUGUGGCCAAGCACUGCAUCAAGAAGAAGGUGAACCUGGUCACCGCCAGCUACCUGAGCCCAGCCAUGAAGGAGCUGCAGCAGAGUGCUGAGGAGGCUGGGAUCACCAUAGUGAAUGAGAUGGGACUGGACCCUGGCAUCGACCACAUGCUGGCUAUGGAGUGCAUUGACCAGGCCAAGGCAGACGGAGCCACUGUGGAAUACUACACCUCCUUCUGUGGGGGUCUGCCGGCCCCAGAGUGCUCAGACAACCCGCUGCGCUACAAGUUCAGCUGGAGCCCCUACGGCGUCCUCCUCAACACCAUCAGCCCAGCCAUCUUCCUCAAGGACAAUGAGGUGAUCACUGUGCCAGCAGGAGGCUCCCUGAUGGAGUCCACCGUGCCCAUGGACUUCUUGCCGGGCUUCAGCCUGGAGGGCUUCCCCAACCGCGACAGCACCAAGUACGCCGAGCCCUACGGCAUCCAGGCCGCCCACACGCUCAUCAGGGGGACGCUGCGCUUCAGGGGCUUCACGCGGGCGAUGAGUGGGUUUGUGAAGCUGGGCCUGAUCAACACAGAGCCGUGCCCCAUGCUGCACCACACGGCUGUGCCCGUGUCCUGGAGAGCCCUGCUGUGCCAGCAGAUCGGCCUGCCCUCGUCCGUUGGGGAUGACGCCUUUCAGGAGGCCGUGUACGAGCGCAUCGACAAGGACGACUUCCGCAUGGAAAUGUUGAAAUGGUUUGGGAUGCUAAGUGAAGAGGCAGUGCCCCAUGCUGACAGCAUCCUGGGAGCAGUGGCUAAGCACCUGGAGGCCAGGCUGGCUUUUGACAAGGGCGAGCGAGACAUGAUCAUCAUGAGAAACGACGUGGGCAUCAGGCACUCUUCAGGAGAGCUGGAGACCAAGCACAUCGGCCUGGUGGUGUACGGCGAGCCCAGCGGCUUCUCUGCCAUGGCUAAAACAGUGGGCUAUCCGGCUGCCAUCGCUGCUCAGAUGGUUCUUAAUGGUGAAAUCACAACAAAAGGGCUUGUGGUGCCGAUGACCAAGGACAUCUACGGUCCUGUUCUCACCAGACUGAAGGAGGAGGGCCUCCAGUUCACCACCAAGAGCACCCUCAUAGAGUAACCCAGUGGGAAGCCACUCUCAUUAACACACAUGUCCACAUCAAAGGGAGAGACCGACCACACGCCCAGCAUAUUGCUCCUUUCACCACACCGCCUAUCCACACAGCCAGAUAAGAGCGCUCUAUGUCAGCCUUAUCCCUCUAGGGAACUCCCACAUAUUCAUCUCCUCAUUUCCAUGCUGCCUUCUUUGAGUUUCCCCCAAACAGACAAAUAGAAAAGACAGACCUGUAUCACAGGGCACUAGAGACAGCAGAAUAGCUGGCACACCUGGAGACUGACAAACAGCUUUGCAGAAUUUAGUCCGUCUGAUUAGAGGGAUACAACCAGAAAACAUUGAUUUUGCGUUUCACUACAAGUACGCUUCCAGUGAUGAACACGGGUCAUAUUUAUAAAAUUAAUAUUUAAGCCUUUUGAGUCAAAGUCAAAUCCAGAUACCACUUGUCAAUUAAAAUACAGUGUACAUUCUUUAUCAAAUACUGUUCAAAGGAGAAAUCCAGCGAUUUUUCACAUUGAUCUCUGUUUCUCGAGGUCAUCGAGUACUGUCUGUACGGAAAAAAAAGAAAACAAUCAGUUUUACCGAACUCGAGCUGCUAGUUCCAACAGCCAAAGUAACCAGGCAGCUACUGUGCAGUACUCUGUGCCCUUGAGAAACGAAGAUCUGUGUGAAAAAUGGCUAGAUUUCUCCUUUAAGAAGACAUUAAAUAGGAUUUAUACUAGUGGCCCUGUUUUAUUAACCCAGCAGAUCUGAUUAACAUACAGUAAGAUAGCAAGAUGUCAAGUCCCUGUUGAGCAGGCGUUUCAGUUUGACAUUCAUUUGACCUUUUCCAAAUGAAUGUCUACAGAUCACAUAUGUCUGUGUCUUUGUAUUUUGUCGGGGGAAAUUCUCCAAGUUCUCUGAAUAUUUUUUAAGGUCAAAAACUCAAGCUCACAGUGUUUGUGCUAAGAGAUUUUAAAGCAAAGCUCUUUAGAUUUAUCUGAAGUAGAUUCAGAAUAAGUAUUUUUGACACCAUAUUAGAAUUUACAAUUAAAAUGAAUUUCAAGCAUUUGAAACUUUUUACAAUGUAAAAUAUCAUUGGAUCGUGUUAUAUGGUGAAUAUGUGGGAUAAAUUUUAUGUUUUUCAUUGUAUUAACCAUUUAAACUCUUGUAUUAACCAUUUACUAUAGCUGACUUAUAGAAUGAACUUUAGGUGCCAUCCUGGCUUUAGGAAUGUGAAGAUAGCCAGAACCCUUGCUGUGGCAAUGUGAGGAUGGUGGCCCCUUGGUGACCCCAUGAAACACAAACAUGGUUUAGGUUGAUGAGUUCUUGUAAACAUCCUUAUCUCUGUUAAUCACCAGGUGGUUAAAGACUCACUAAAGUGAUCUAGUGAUUUUCCAUGUGUGUGUGUGUUAGGAGUAUAAGAACUGACUUCACCCACAGAUGUGUGGGCUUGUUACUUUGACUUCGUGUGGGUAACAUGCUCCCGGUAUCGUGAAUAAAGCUGCAGUCUCACACCAGUUGUCUUGGAAUAAUUUUGACCACAUAUUUGGCGACGAGGAUGGGAUUACCUAUCUCUGAGGCAUAGCGAGGAGGACCAACGGCGCAGGACCCAACAAUACCAGCUGGAGGGAGAUCUCUUUGUGAUCUUGGGAGAAGGCCGUCAACAGCAACCAAUACUGCUCAGCGGCACCCAGCCUGGCCAGAGGGAAUCCUCCUGUGACUCGGAUACGGUAACACCCGUGUUUGGUGGUCACAGACAACUUGGUGGUGGCGUCGGCCCUUCCACAAAAUUUCCAGAGGACACACCCAGUUGAGCCAGGAGCGUGGGUACUCAUCAAAGAUUUGAGAAGGAAACAUUGGAAUCAGGAACGCUGGAGAGGACCUUUUGAAGUACUACUAUCUACACCUACAGCCGUAAGGAUUGCGGAAAGAGACACUUGGGUCCAUUUGUCACACUGCAGAGUGGUGAAGGAUCCAGAACACUACAUGGACUGAACUGAAUAUCAUAACCAACAAGUGGUGGUACGAGAGGAUUGACAAACAUUGCUUGCAGGCUGAAGAAUACAGACAUUAAAGGAGACUACUAAAAUUCAUUAGCACCAUAUACAAUAGUUUGUCUCAGUUUAGCUAGAUAAACGUUACAAGUUUGUUAUUUUUGUUUAAUUUUAUUUGGACAGUAACCUGAGGAGGGCCUAAAAAACCCAAGUCAGCUCUGCUGUUGAAGAUUAGGAUUAGGUUUUAUUUUUGGUUUUGAAUAACUGAGAGAACAGAAAAUGUUGGUGUUACUGUUGCUUAUUAUUCACCUAAGGGUUAUAUCAGCCUCCCUCAGGGAAGAAGUUUGUGGUAGCAAUAAAGCCUGCGAGUUAGCCUUCCGUGCCAAAACAACGUUAACAGGAAAUAAUGAUACAUGUUGGGUAUGUCAAGAAAAAGCUUUUCAGAUGCGUGUGUUUCCCUACAGGACAUUUCAGGACUCAGUUUGUGCUGCUGCUCGACUAUGUACCAGCCCUCAGUGUCUUUCAGAAGUGGGGUUAGAAAACAUAGAAAAAUUCCUGCAUGGCUCAUCUUUGAAUAUCAUGUUAACCUUAAUGGAUUCAGUAUGGUUAAAUGAAACAAGAGAAGGGUCGAAGAGAAAGUUAGGAUGGAUUAAUUCAGAUGUAAAUGCAAAGUAUAGCAACUAUUGGCCUGUUCCGAGCACAAAGGGUCAAGCUACGCCUCAAGCAGCAAAACCUUAUACUGUUUGCAAUAAUAGUGGAUUUCCUUUAAGGGAGUCUGGAUGGAACCUUGAAACUACACAGGUGUCAGUUACUAAAGGAUUUGUGUGCUUAUCUGUUAAGUCCCCCAAAGAAGAUAACAUCAUUAGGAAACAAUUAGGACAUAGUAAAUGCCAAUAUUAUCUCAAAGCAAUGUAUGAUCAACCAGACUCUUCUGCCACACAGAGUGAACCUGGUAUUUGGCUAGGAGGAAAUUAUUUUCCUCUAGUGAGGUAUAGCAGUGUUCCAAGUCCAAACUUCAAUUUUGCGCUUCCCAUGGGCAUGUAUUGGGUAUGUGGUAAAAUGGCAUAUUCUUACUGGCCUACAAAUGCUGUAGGAACGUGUUACAUAGCUGCUAUUGCGCCGACAAUUUGGAUUUUACAGGAAAAACAGUCUAAUCAACAACAUUCUACUGAACAUCCCCAUAGAGAGAAAAGAGAGAUGUCUUAUACUUCAGGAGGUAUGAGUAAAUGGAAAGGAUAUGUUAUAGCAGAUCCAUGGACGGGACAGGGAAAUACUGUGGGUUUGACUUUUUCUUUGUGGGGUGGUGUAGUGGCAGCAUUACAGAAAAUCAAUGGCCUAGCUUAUCACCUGCAAAGUCUAGCAAAUGAAACAGCAUUUGCACUGUCUAUGUUAAAUGAAGAAGUAAGAGCUAUGCGAACUGAACUUAUAGCCCAUAGAAUGGCCUUAGAUUUGCUGUUAGCUGAGCAAGGUGGUCUGUGUCAGGUGGUGGAGACCUCAUGUUGCUUUUUAGUGCCCGAUGAGUAUAACAAUGUCACCCAAUACGUUGAAGGUAUAAGAAAGGCUAUGCCUGAUCCUCCACCACUUUCAGCUUUUGAUAUGUUCCUUGAAGAUUUUGAAACAAGAUUUGGUACAACUGCCUCCAAAAUCCUGACGAUGAUGUUAAAAAUUGGAUUACCUUUCCUUGUCCCUGUGGUGAUUUUCCUUGUGAUACUUUUUAUAGGGAAGUUCAUAUUAGCUUGUGUCAUUAGAGCUCUGAACAAACGGACCACAGUGGCAAGUUAUGUUAAUGCGAGUAAACCUCACAAAAAGAAUUACAGGUCUCAAGGCUUCGGGCCAACUGGACCUUAUGAAGAUAUCUUUCCAUUCAGAGAAGUGCCGAAUAUUGAAAUAGAGGAAACAUGUUAGUAACAGAAGUGUAAAAUGAGUCUGACCCUGUUUUAAAUACCUGGUUUAUUUUUUAUUUUUUAUUUUCUUGUGUUUUCUUUUCCAUUUGUAAUAUGGAUUUAAAACGUCAAUAAUCACAUAGCCAUAGAAAGUAACUUGUUACUAUGUUUUUCAAUGUGAUUAACUCUUAUAGCCAAUUGUAAUGUUGAUUCAUGUAGUUGCAUAUAUAUCAUUGUAUUAGGGAUGUAGCUUCAUAGCUCCACAGGGGGGAAUAUGUGGGAUAAAUUUUAUGUUUUUCAUUGUAUUAACCAUUUAAACUCUUGUAUUAACCAUUUACUAUAGCUGACUUAUAGAAUGAACUUUAGGUGCCAUCCUGGCUUUAGGAAUGUGAAGAUAGCCAGAACCCUUGCUGUGGCAAUGUGAGGAUGGUGGCCCCUUGGUGACCCCAUGAAACACAAACAUGGUUUAGGUUGAUGAGUUCUUGUAAACAUCCUUAUCUCUGUUAAUCACCAGGUGGUUAAAGACUCACUAAAGUGAUCUAGUGAUUUUCCAUGUGUGUGUGUGUUAGGAGUAUAAGAACUGACUUCACCCACAGAUGUGUGGGCUUGUUACUUUGACUUCGUGUGGGUAACAUGCUCCCGGUAUCGUGAAUAAAGCUGCAGUCUCACACCAGUUGUCUUGGAAUAAUUUUGACCACAAUAACUAGUGGCAUAAGCAGCUGUUCUUCUUGGCACCCAGCCUUUGUUAACCCUUUCCAUGUUUCUGAGCACUUUAUGCAAUAAUGACGGUUAGAACAACCAUGUGUUCCCACAGAGAUGUGAAAUAAAAAAUCACAGAAUGUUGACACUGGAAAUGUCAGACUGGUCACAUACAGUUCUGGGGAAAAAAUGAAGAGACCACUGCACGGAUUUCUGAUGUCACCCUACAGUUGCCAAGUGACAUUUGAAUAAGUUGACGGUCGCACUGUAUUUAAAUUUGCAAUGAUCUCUUCAUUUUGAAUAUGACUGUCAACUCAUUCGAAUGACAUUAGAAAAAUGUGCAGUGGUCUCUUCAUUAUAUCCAGAGCUGUACGUAUUGUCAGGGGGGUGAAUGGAUGUAGACAUGACUGGUCAUGAGCAUGAAACUGUAAAAGUAUUUUCUUUUUGUAAAGCAUAGUGUGUCCCACUAGACUGUGAUGGGCCAGAUGAAAUGGCCAUUAGCAAGACAACAAUGCAGCAGAGGGUCCCUCCUUUAUCACACUGAAAGUUCCCUCACAAGGCCACGGUGGCCAUCUGCCAUUAUGCUCAUUAUUGCAACAAGUACAAUAGUCCCUCUUACUACUGCUGUUAUUCAAGGUGUUGACAAUUGGUCAUUUGCAAUCUAUCAUAAGUGUUUAGUGAAAUGUAUAAAUAAAGUAUUUAUAUUUGGA